rnacentral:hammerhead_ribozyme from 1 species
GCUGACGAGUCCCAAAUGGGACGAAAUGCGCAUCC